rnacentral:misc_RNA from 1 species
GAUGAAGAACGUAGCGAAAUGCGAUAAGUAAUGCGAAUUGCAGAAUUUCCGUGAGUCAUCGAAUCUUUGAACGCACAUUGCGCCCACUGGUAUUCCGGUGGGCAUGCCUGUUCGAGCGUCAUUAUCCUCCCUCAAACCCCGGGUUUGGUGUUGGACCCAAGUUGUGUGAACAACUGGUCUCAAAGACAAUGACGGCGUCCGUGGGACCCUCGGUGCAACGAGCUUUUAGGAGCACGCAUCGAGUUGCAAGGACCUUCCGGGCCGGUCUCCUUUACCAUUUUAUAAGGUUGACCUCGGAUCAGGUAGGAAUACCCGCUGAACUUAAGCAUAUCAAUAAGCGGAGGA